CAUUGCCUCGCUGUCUCUCUGAAGAGCCAUGAAGGGAUCGCUGAGGUCAUAGCGUCCGUAUCGCUCCUGCACAAACACGUCUCGUUGCUGUGCCUGGGGUGGAGAUCAGAAGUUCAAAGGUCAGAGUACAGCUCAUGAUAAUAAAUCAACCUGCCAUACAGCUAUUUAUCCAGUUACAGCUCUUUCCUCAAAUGAUUUUUACAGUUGCAGAAGAUGAAUGUAGUGGCAUUUUUGCACACUCGCACACUUUGGAGAAUGUGUGGAAUGUGUGAACAACUGAGAGCUGCUUGAGUUGGACCUUGACCACUUUCAAAGCUUCACUCCCUACCAAUUCCUCAUCGCCUGCUGAGGGACCACAAGGAAACAUGUGCCAGAAGUUUUGAAUGUUUGGAUGCAGUGUGUGCAAAUGGGGUCACACUCGGAUGUGGACCUGCUAUCCUUCUCACACAGGAUCUCAGCAGGUAAUGAGAAAGAGGGGAGUGAAAAACAUUAUAGAAAAGAUGAAAAGCAGGAACUGGGAGAGAAGAAAAGAGCCGCGGGCUGUGAGACACACUGAGACAGAAAAGCAGGAUGGCCUUCUUCAUGAUGUCCACGCCAACAUCAGCAGGGAUCUCUGCUCUCAUUUAACAUAAACCAGGUGCUCAGGGACACACUGUACAUCCAAAUAGACCCACAGAGGAAUGAUCAGAUGCAGCCUGGGCUUCAUCAGGUCUUGUUUCACAAAUAAUAACCCUCUGAAUUACACACACACACACACACACACACACACACAUAUACACAAUACCACCCUGCCCCCAAAUCCCCAAAUGCACACACACUCCCAUCAGGCCUCCAUAGGCAGGUGUUAAACCUUCCCUUGGGGAGCGAGGGUCACCACCACAGAAAGGAGUACAAAAGGAGCAGCUGGUGAGGCUGGAACGUGUGUGUAUGUGUGUGUGUGUGUGUGUGUGUUGACCAAUUUGGCAUGGCAAUAUGGGCCGUCCAUACUGAAUGAAUUGGCAGAUGCAAACACACAGAUGAGAUUACACACACACACAUACACACACACACAUACACACACACACACACACACACACACACACACACACACACACGCGCACGCACACAGAGUCUUUAUGAUCCAAUACAAUGAUAUAUAAAAUGCACUAUAAAACCUUGCAUUAAAGAAUUGCCAAAAUAACCAUGUAUAAACCAGAGUCAUCCAACGGCAGAAAUCUGGUGUAACAUGGCUAUUUUCGUGCAGAGAGUAACAAAAUGCAUCACUUCUAGAACAAAAGCAGCUUGGUGCAUCUUGCCAACUACAAAAACAAACAUUUGAAUAACAUAAGGAAAAUACAACAAAUUUUUUUAAGUUGGCAUGAAUAGAUACAGAUAAUGGUAUCGGUUUAAUAUUGCGCUCAUUUACUUGUAUUUGUAUAAACUAUAUCAACAUCUGAUACCACAUGAAACUACGCAUCACAAAGCGAGUGUGCGCUAUCAAGCUAAUUACCGCACGACACAAAAUGACAGCGAUCUGGACAUAUUUUAUAAUUAAUAACGGUGAUCAAAGCAAAGCAGACUGUAAACUGUGCUCUCUAAAAAUAUCAAGAGGAGGGACUACAACAUCUUCCUACAGCACAAGUAAUCUGAUAAAAAAUGGAAUUUCCCAAAUUUAUUGUGGCCUGCCUGUGUUCAGCAUUGAAUUUAUUUGGGAUGACACACUCCACAGUAUUGGUUAAUGGCUCAUAUGAAAGUAUAAAAGUUAUCAUUUCCAUCGCCCUGCUCCCCAGCAGCUAAACACAGAGUCACGAUACUCUAUACACAGAAACCCAACAGUGACCUGACUAAUCUUAUAACAGACUUGUGGUCAUAAAAUAAUUCACUUGUUUAUACUGAUUGAAAAUGUCUGAUAAGUCGAUUUCCAUUUCACCUGCAGAAUGGACCGCCAGUGUACUACUAAAAAGGAUUCAAAAUAAAACCUGACACAAUGACCUCACUACGGUAUACAGCAGCAAUCAAUGCUGCAGCAAAACACUUUCUAGGUGAGAACAAAUGUCUACAGACUCACCGGGUGAGUGAAAAUAACAGCUCUUACCCAGCAGUUUGUUCUUGCUGAUCAGCCACUAUGGGACACUGAAAACAGGGGGUUCUGAUGCAAUGAAAACAAAAACGCACUUUAUAGACAGCUGAACAAAUGUUGCCUGCACCACUGCAACCCUACUCGAUCUAAGGUAACUAAUGUACAAAGCUAAUGCACAUAAAAGUAACCUAGCUAACGUUAUAAAGAAAGAGCCUAGUAGACUAAGCACAUGAACAUGCAUGUGUACACUUUUCAUGCCCACUUUUUAAACUGGGGGAACAUAAACAGAGCCAAAUAAAAUGUUCUGUGAUGUCUCUGAUUGAUUAGACCUAAGUAGAUUAGAUUUCGGUAUUAGUAUGCCUUUUUAAUUUUAAUGAAAUCAUUUAAAUUUCUUCAUGUCAUUAUUGUGUAUGCUAGUUGUGUAUUUAAGAAUUUAACCUCUGUUACUAUUUAACAGCAGAAUGCAAUAAUUGUCAACGAUUAGGGGUGACUGUGGCUCAGGUGGUAGAGCGGGUUGUCCACUAAUCAUAGGGUUGGUGGUUCGAUUCCUGGCCCACAUGACUCCACAUGCCGAAUUGAUCUUGGGCAAGACACCGAACCCCAAGUUGCUCCUGAUGGCAAGCUAGCGCCUUGCAUGGCAGCUCUGCUAGUGUGUGUGAAUGGGUGAAUGAGACACAGUGUAAAGUGCUUUGGAUAAAAGCGCUGUAUAAGUGCAGACCAUUUACCAUAACAAAGAAGGCAUUGUGUCCUAAAAUGGGUUAACACAUAUUUUUUUUUCAUUUUGAAUGGAUAAUUGCAUGCUUUCUUAGAUUCAUUGUUGAAAAAUUAUUUAAAAUAAAGGCCAACUUUUUUUUUGG